GUUGUAGCUCAGUGGUGGAGCAUCUGCUUUGGAUGCAGAAGGUGCCAGGAUCAAUCCCUGUCAUCUCCA